rnacentral:rRNA from 1 species
UACGGGGGGGGUAAGCGUUGUUCGGAAUUACUGGGCGUAAAGGGCGCGUAGGCGGCCUUGUUAGUCGAGUGUGAAAGCCCUGGGCUUAACCCGGGAAGCGCGCUUGAUACUGCAGGGCUAGAGUGUGGGAGAGGUUGGUGGAAUUCCCAGUGUAGAGGUGAAAUUCGUAGAUAUUGGGAAGAAUACCGGUGGCGAAGGCGACCAACUGGACCACAACUGACGCUGAGGCGCGAAAGCGUGGGGAGCAAACAGG